AGUGAACGCUGGCGGUAGGUCUAACACAUGCAAGUCGAACGGCAGCACAGUAAGAGCUUGCUCUUACGGGUGGCGAGUGGCGGACGGGUGAGGAAUACAUCGGAAUCUACUUUUUCGUGGGGGAUAACGUAGGGAAACUUACGCUAAUACCGCAUACGACCUACGGGUGAAAGCAGGGGAUCUUCGGACCUUGCGCGAUUGAAUGAGCCGAUGUCGGAUUAGCUAGUUGGCGGGGUAAAGGCCCACCAAGGCGACGAUCCGUAGCUGGUCUGAGAGGAUGAUCAGCCACACUGGAACUGAGACACGGUCCAGACUCCUACGGGAGGCAGCAGUGGGGAAUAUUGGACAAUGGGCGCAAGCCUGAUUCAGCCAUACCGCGUGGGUGAAGAAGGUCUUCGGGUUGUAAAGCCCUUUUGUUGGGAAAGAAAAGCAGCAGGUUAAUACCCCGCUGUUCUGACGGUACCCAAAGAAUAAGCACCGGCUAACUUCGUG
rnacentral:rRNA from 1 species